rnacentral:rRNA from 1 species
GAAGAAAGCUGGCGGCGCGCUUAACACAUGCAAGUCGAACGGAAAGGCCUGCUUUCCCUUGUGGAUUGCGGGUACUCGAGUGGCGAACGGGUGAGUAACACGUGAGUGAUCUGCCCCCAACUUGGGUAUAAGCCUGGGAAACUGGGUCUAAUUCCCGAUAGGACUGCAGGGUGGUGCCUGUGGUGGAAAACGAUUUUCUAGUGGUUGGGGAUGAGCUCGCGGCCUAUCAGCUUGUUGGUGGGGUAAUGGCCUACCAAGGCGGCGACGGGUAGCCGGCCUGAGAGGGUGGACGGCCACAUUGGGACUGAGAUACGGCCCAGACUCCUACGGGAGGCAGCAGUGGGGAAUAUUGCACAAUGGGCGGAAGCCUGAUGCAGCGACGCCGCGUGGGGGAUGACGGCCUUCGGGUUGUAAACUCCUUUCGACCGCGAGGAAGCCACCUGGUUGGAAGGGUGGUGACGGUAGUGGUAGAAGAAGCACCGGCUAACUACGUG